rnacentral:rRNA from 1 species
GACGAACGCUGGCGGCGUGCCUAAUACAUGCAAGUUGAGCGAUGAAGCUUGGUGCUUGCACCAAUUUGAAGAGCAGCGAACGGGUGAGUAACGCGUGGGGAAUCUGCCUUUGAGCGGGGGACAACAUUUGGAAACGAAUGCUAAUACCGCAUAACAACUUUAAACAUAAGUUUUAAGUUUGAAAGAUGCAAUUGCAUCACUCAAAGAUGAUCCCGCGUUGUAUUAGCUAGUUGGUGAGGGAAAGGCUCACCAAGGCGAUGAUACAUAGCCGACCUGAGAGGGUGAUCGGCCACAUUGGGACUGAGACACGGCCCAAACUCCUACGGGAGGCAGCAGUAGGGAAUCUUCGGCAAUGGACGAAAGUCUGACCGAGCAACGCCGCGUGAGUGAAGAAGGUUUUCGGAUCGUAAAACUCUGUUGGGAGGGAAGAACGGUUGUGAGAGUGGAAAGCUCAUCAAGUGACGGUAACUACCCAGAAAGGGACGGCUAACUACGUG